CCUACGGGAGGCAGCAGAGAGGAAUAUUGGUCAAUGGGCGAAAGCCGGAACCAGCAAAGUCGCGUGAGGGAAGACGGCCCUAGGGGUUGUAAACCUCUUUUGUAAGGGAGAAAAGCCGGCUAAGUGUAGCCGGACUGAGAGCACCUGAAGAAAAAGCAUCGGCCAACUCGGUGCCAGCAGCCGCGGUAAUACGGAGGAUGAGAGCGUUAGCCGGAUUGAUUGGGUUGAAAGGGUGCGUAGGCGGAAUGCCAAGUCAGCGGUAAAAUCGCGGGGCUCAACCUCGCUCCGCCGUUGAAACUGGCGUUCUUGAGUGGGCGAGAAGUAUGCGGAAUUCGUGGUGUAGCGGUGAAAUGCAUAGAUAUCACGCAGAACUCCGAUUGCGAAGGCAGCAUACCGGCGCCCAACUGACGCUGACGCACGAAAGCGUGGGUAUCGAACAGGAUUAGAUACCUCUGUAGUC
rnacentral:rRNA from 1 species